GUACCUUGCCAGAAAGCUUGCUGGUAAUCCGGAGCUUCACUUCGUUGAAUCACCUGCCCUGGCUCCUCCUGAAGUUCAAAUUGACUUGGCCGCACAAGCACAGCAUGAAGCAGAGUUGGCGCAAGCUGCUGCACAACCUCUUCCUGAUGAAGAUGACGAUGCAUUUGAGUAAUGUGCUUCUUAUAUAAGUGUGCUCGGCCUUUUGCCUUGCAGGGUUUAUAGUGAUUGUGGUUGUUUGGUGGUCGGUUGUAUUUCACUAUGUGAUGUGUCAUAGUAGAUUUCGGUUUGAUAUGAUAUACUACUACUGUUAUCGAUUACAAUUUUGAUAAAUG
rnacentral:misc_RNA from 1 species